rnacentral:rRNA from 1 species
UACGUAGGGGGCAAGCGUUGUCCGGAUUUAUUGGGCGUAAAGAGCGUGUAGGCGGCUAGAUAGGUCCGUUGUGAAAACUCGAGGCUCAACCUCGAGACGCCGGUGGAAACCAUCUAGCUAGAGUCCGGAAGAGGAGAGUGGAAUUCCUGGUGUAGCGGUGAAAUGCGCAGAUAUCAGGAAGAACACCCGUGGCGAAGGCGGCUCUCUGGGACGUGACUGACGCUGAGACACGAAGGCCAGGGGAGCAAACGGG